rnacentral:lncRNA from 1 species
CCGUCUCAGUCCACAGGUAGCUGGCUCCAAGGCAGGACGCUGGGGAAGAGGGAAAGGCAGAGGGGGUUUCCUGCGGCAUGGUGCCCGCGAAGCAGGGAGACAGGAGCUGCGGAGGAACCGCCUCUUCCGCCAGACCCCACCUACUACUGGCAAAUCAGCUAUGAGUUCCACAAUCGGAUCACCUGCUUACAACUACAUGAGACUUUGGGUGACAUCUGAUAGAAUCAUAACAACACAGGACUGUAUUAAUCAGCAGCCUUGAUUCAGUAGUGACAGAGAUCUCUGUGAAGGCUAAGUCUAAUUAUCAACUUCAUUGGAUGGAGAGCUGCCUAGCGAUGAGUGAAGCACACAUCAGGUAUGCCUGGGUGGGGCAUGGAGGUGUGACUGGGGUUUAUAUCCACUCCCUGGCCUCUCCCCAUCUGGCACCAUUCCCUUGCUCUGCUUCCUGGCCACCCUGAACAGAGCGGAUUUCCUCUGCCACGCCCUUCAUUAUGAUGCUCCUGCUCGGAAGCCACAAACAAUAGACUGAAUCCCCUGAGCCCCUCCUGAAAUUAUAAGGGUGCUGGGUAUUGUGUUUCUUGGACAAGAAAACUGACACCUACAUCCUCUCUCCUCCAAAAACCUAGGUGCAGGCUGUGGGGGUGGUCAGUGUUGGGGUGGGUUUUAAUAAACAAGUAAAAUCAAUAAUGUUCAAAAGCUAUGGGCGCUAUGAAGAAAAGAUACUUGGAUAAUAAGAAAGAGAGACUGACAUGGGCUAGGAGAGAGCAUAAAAUGUUAUAAUUUGUAGGGUGAGGACAAGUUAGCCAUUAAUGGAUAAUCAAGGAGAGAAGUUUGUGGACCCUGAAAAAAAUCCAGUGAAAACAAGGAGAGAUCUAUUUCCAGAAAGAGUGGAACAGGAAUCUGAUCAAGCAGAGCCUUGUGGGGCAAGGACCCUCCCCCUCCAGAAAAGGGGGUGUUGUACAGUUGCUGAGCUGCCUGCCCAUAAAUCCUCUGGACAGAACUUGCAACACACCAGAUCUGACCGCCUGCUCUACCUGCAGUGAACAAAGGUCUCCCCAGCCAGCUUUUUUGACUUCUUGAGCUUGAAAAUGGAUUCUGAGAACAGUUUUCAAAGCCCUAGGAAUAAAUGCUGUGAAAAUGAAAAAAAAUGGGGAGGAGACCAUAAAGCUUCAAAGGGAAAAAAUUUUCUAAGACAUCUAGAUGAAGCCUUUGUAACAAGUCAGAUCGCAAUAUAAAAGUGAACUGCUG